rnacentral:lncRNA from 1 species
UCAUUUGGAGCGAAAGGAUUCCUGGCGAAGCAGAGCUCUGCGCACUUGAGUUCCGGUCCGAUUUCCCGCGGAGUUCCCCGCUUGGCGCUUGCUUGCGUGUCUUGGAGUACUGGUCGGGUUUCACCCCCAUCAGUAGGCUUCAGGGAACUGGAGACGAUUGGAGGCACCUUCACUUGGUCCAACGGUGUAGGCCCCCACCCCAGCACACCAGAUCGAGAUUGGACAGGGCUAUGGGAAAUCAUCAAUGGAUCGCACGCUGGCCGCAAACGCGUCCGAGGUUGCUCCUGGGCACAUCGAGAGAUCAUGCAAGGUUACUCAUCAAAUUAACGCACCUUGAGAAGAGAUCGACGCCGUUUAAAUUCUUCGCCAGCUGGCUGCACGAGGAAGGUUUCAAUGAAAAAUUUAUCACGACCUGGAAAAUGCAAGCGACCGGAACACCACUAUUCAAACUACAAGAGAAAAUAAACAAGGUCAGAGUUGCUGGAAAGGAGUGGGCGAAAAGGAAGUACAUUAUGGCACGUACCUAUAGCAAGGUAGCAGCGAAGCUGCAGCAGAUUGCGUUGAAUCUUCAGCUUGACCCACUAAACGCUGGACUGCAAUCCGACUAUAAAAACAAAAAAGAUGAACUGAUUGAAACGCAACACAAGGAGAGAUUGGAUUUACAACAGCGUGUCCAUGUAAAUUGGUUGACAAAGAGGGACCAAGGAACAAAAUUCUUUGCCCAAGCAAUCAAAGCGAGACAAGUAAGGAACUCUAUCAUGGGCAUCUUGUACAGCAAUGGCACCAAAACUGACUCGCUAGCAAGCAUGAAGGAAAGGGUUGUCACUUACUUCACAUCACUCUAUUUGGCACAUAACAGAGCACCACCAAUCCCCAACCUUAACAUAUUUAUUGAGGAGAGUCCAACAACCAUUGAAAAUACGAUCCUCAGGGCUUACCCCACCAACGAAGAAGUACUGAAAAUGGUCAAAAGUCUGCCAAAAUCAAAAGCCCCCGGAAUUGAUGGCCUAACAACGGAAUUUAUAAUCCACCAUUGGGAAACGGUGAAGGAUGAUUACCUUGCAGCAAUACUUCACUUCUUCACCACAAAGAGAAUGUUGAGGUCACUUAACCUCGCCACACCGACUUUGAUUCCUAAAGUCCAGCAGCCAGAGCGCUUGGAAGACUAUAGGCUGAUAUCGUGCAUUGGCAUCUCGUACAAAUUUUUUUCCAAAUUACUAGCUACAAAACUGAUGGCAAUACUACCAAGGUUGAUUAGUCUGAACCAAUUAGCUUUCAUCAAAGGUCGCCGGAUUAGCGACGCCAUAGGUUUGGCACAGGAAUUCACGCAAGGAUUUAACUGGAAGGGCACCUCAAGG